AUUGAACGCUGGCGGCAGGCCUAACACAUGCAAGUCGAGCGGAUGAAGGGAGCUUGCUCCUGGAUUCAGCGGCGGACGGGUGAGUAAUGCCUAGGAAUCUGCCUGGUAGUGGGGGAUAACGUCCGGAAACGGGCGCUAAUACCGCAUACGUCCUGAGGGAGAAAGUGGGGGAUCUUCGGACCUCACGCUAUCAGAUGAGCCUAGGUCGGAUUAGCUAGUUGGCGGGGUAAAGGCCUACCAAGGCGACGAUCCGUAACUGGUCUAAGAGGAUGAUCAGUCACACUGGAACUGAGACACGGUCCAGACUCCUACGGGAGGCAGCAGUGGGGAAUAUUGGACAAUGGGCGAAAGCCUGAUCCAGCCAUGCCGCGUGUGUGAAGAAGGUCUUCGGAUUGUAAAGCACUUUAAGUUGGGAGGAAGGGCAGUAAGUUAAUACCUUGCUGUUUUGACGUUACCAACAGAAUAAGCACCGGCUAACUUCGUG
rnacentral:rRNA from 1 species